UUCUUUGUGACUGACGGAACUGUGGAAAACCACAAGGGAGCAAAGGACAAAACAAGCCGACCGUCUGGGCACAC
rnacentral:ncRNA from 1 species